rnacentral:lncRNA from 1 species
GGGCCCUUAAUACAUUAUGAAAAUUUUAAGCAAAUGAGUACUUUUUUCACCUCACCAAGAAUUAAAAUAGAGAAAAACAUAGUUCAAAGUCAAUUAAACUUUAGAUGUUCCUUGUGAAGGCAUAGGCAUUACUAACAAAAACAUAAACUUAAGGCGACGAAUAACUUCUUGUGGAUGGGACGAUGAUGAAGAAGACUCUGCAUUUGAUCAGGCAUUGGAUGUCGAUUUUGGAGAUGGAUGAUUUUGACGAGUAAGAUUUAUCAUUCUUCUGUUGCUAUUCUAAUUGUUUUUUAGGUACAGCUUUCGCUUCUACUUCAUGUUUUCCUAUUCACAACAUCUGUGUAUCAGUUUUUUUCCAUCUUUAUUGAAUAUCUGUCGACCGACAUGUAUCCAUAUCGCCUGCUUGUACUCAUUCAAUUUUAUAUUUA